rnacentral:rRNA from 1 species
GGGAAACAGGUUAAUAUUCCUGUACUUGGUGUUACUGCGAAGGGGGGACGGAGAAGGCUAUGUUGGCCGGGCGACGGUUGUCCCGGUUUAAGCAUGUAGGCGGAUGUUCCAGGUAAAUCCGGAACGUUACUAACGCUGAGGUGUGAUGACGAGGCACUACGGUGCUGAAGUGACAAAUGCCCUGCUUCCAGGAAAAGCCUCUAAGCAUCAAGUAACAUCAAAUCGUACCCCAAACCGACACAGGUGGUCAGGUAG